GUAGGUGGCAAGCGUUGUCCGGAAUUAUUGGGCGUAAAGCGCGCGCAGGCGGUUCUUUAAGUCUGAUGUGAAAGGCCCACGGCUCAACCGUGGAGGGUCAUUGGAAACUGGAGAACUUGAGUACAGAAGAGGAAAGCGGAAUUCCACGUGUAGCGGUGAAAUGCGUAGAGAUGUGGAGGAACACCAGUGGCGAAGGCGGCUUUCUGGUCUGUAACUGACGCUGAGGCGCGAAAGCGUGGGGAGCAAACAGGGAUUAGAUACCCUGGUAGUCCACGCCGUAAACGAUGAGUGCUAAGUGUUAGGGGGUUUCCGCCCCCUUAGUGCUGCAGCUAACGCAUUAAGCACUCCGCCUUGGGAUACGGCCGCAAGGCUG
rnacentral:rRNA from 1 species